UUUCUGUAAGCUCAGAGAGUCAGAUAGGGCUGGAAAGAGCCAGAGCUAGAGAGAGGGCUCAGAGAAGCCAGGAGAUAGCGACGGGCAAGGCGAGAGAGAGGCUCUCUAGGGAGACAGUGUCUGUUCUGGGACUGGUGGGGUUCCGGGGAGGUACAGGGUAGAAAAGAAGCGCUGUCUAUAGGUGAUAGACAAUCCAGUUGUGGAUACCUCAGUCAAACUUUUUGUUUAACUAUCUGUCCAUAGGUGUAGAAUGUCUAUCAGUGGGUGAAGCGGUCAUAAAACCUUACAUCAAAUUAUUAUAUACUCUGUAGCCAAGUCUUGAUCUUGUUACAUACACCAUUACGUGUGAAAAGCCCUAUUUUGGCAGAGAAAAACCUUUAAGCUGCUUGUACAUAAACUUCACUCUGUGUCCAGUGAGUUAUACUUUCUCCCAAUGCAGCCCUCAGCUAUACUACUAAGGAACUGUCAGGACAUAAACCUAAGCAAGAGGAGCUUGAUGGUGGUUGCAGAAUCUUGAUAAAGGGGAGAAGAGAUAAGAACAUCAUUUUCAGUAAAAUGGGUCCACAAAGUCAUCAAGUUAUUAACCUCUCUAGUUUUGGGCAUAGACCACCCCACCUGCCACUAGCAGUAUCCCAGAGUAACAGUCAGGGUACGGUUCAUCACACGAUUAUCUACCAAAACUGACACGCAAGAUAUAUGCAUCUCUCAUGCUUGUUCAUUAGAAAUUAGAAUGACUCACAAAUUAAUUUUACUGAUCAAAUACUGCAAAAUCUUGAGAUUCUGAAUCAUGACUGAUGAAUCUUAUAAAAAUUGUUUCAGAAUAGCAAGAGCUACAUGUCUUAUCAACUUUGAAACAACCUUGCACCUCUGCUGGAGCUAACAGGAUCAAACAAUAUUAAAAUAAUGAGGGAAUAAUGAAGUGAGCCACCCUUUAUAAAAGCAGUGGGCAGGAUCCAGACUAAGUUAGUCAUGACUAAGAACUGUUACGAGGGGGUGCUGUUGCGCCCCCUUGGGGAUAUUUUAGGCUACAGCUAUAAGGCAGGCAGAUUCCCAGAAAGUCACAACCGCAGGCUUAAAAUCUGAAUAGAAAUGUAUUUUAUUGAACACAAAGUGCAAAUUGAAUAAAACAGAACAUGCAGGGCAUUACACAGAACAUGUAAGAUGGUUCACGUAUCUGGGCGCUAAUACAGGAGGACCUCAUUAUUCGUGGGUCCAGCACCUGCAGUUCUGCAUAUCCGUGGUUAGCACCCAACCUUGGUAUAUGCAGGAAAAACCCAGGGAGGCGGAUGGUUAAACCUGCAUAUGUGCAGGUUGGGGGUGACUGGAAACUACCUCGGAGAUCAUUUCCAGCCACUAUUUUAUUUUUGGGAGCCAUAUUAUGGCUCAUUUUAACAAAAACGGGGGAAACACAGCUAUUUUUGGUUGAUUUUUGCCAUGGUGGAGAAUAUGGUAGGGCACUUUGGAAGAUUAUUCUUUGGGGGGGCACUUAUUUUCAGAAAUUUUGGGGCAGUCUGGGAACCAACCAACCCCCCCUUCCAUAGCCCUCAUUAUCCAUUAUUUGUGGAUUCACUAUCCCCCACCCCCGCCCCGACAGAACACAACGCCUGUGAAUAACAGGAUUCUCUUGUACUUGACUUCUGACAUCCUGGCUAUUAAAAUGUAUGUGCUAUACUGAAGACUGGGGAAAGGGAAGAGGGUGGAGGAUGUGAAGGGCAAGGUGGAUAGAGAGAGACCUGAACAAGAUCAGGCAAGAGAGAAGGCAGGGUCAAUGAAAAGCUCCUGAGAGACAGCAGAGGGAAGAGAAAGACAGACCCAAUGAAUUCAGGUAAAGAAAGUGAACUGGGGUCAGUCCAAAGUACUGAAGGGAAAGUGGAGCGAAGGAAGGAAGGAAGGAAGGAAGGAAGGAAGGAAGGAAGGAAGGAAGGAAGGAAGGAAGGAAGGAAGGAAGGGGAAAGCCUGAAUGAGUCUAGGAAGAGAAAGCAAAUUCGGGUCAGUCCAGAGGACUGGAGAAGGAACAGAGGACAGACCAUGACAGAUCUGAAUGAGUUUGGGGGAGAAGAGAAAACUGAGUCAGCCCAGAGAACUGGAGAAGGAAGUGGGGCAAAGAUCGAAAGACACUCGAACAAGUCUGGGAAGAGAAAGUAGGUUGAGGCCAUCCAGAGAUCUGGGGAAGGCAGCAAAAUGAAGAAACAAGUUCAGAUACAAGGAUGGCCCUGCACCUUUAAAAAUGAGACAGUGAAGACAUCCUGAAGUACACACACAUGUUCCAGCAUAUGCUUAGACUCAGAGCUGGAAGACUCCACAAGACCAUCAAGUCUCAACCAUUCUGUUGCUCUAAGGCAAAACGCCUACACUUCAGCCCCUCCACCCCAUUCCCAAAAUGAACAAAAUGCAAGUUUUCCACCACAGGGUGCCUGCAGAGCUCAAGAUGGCUACACACAACUUCAGCCCUCCAGCUGUUGGAUUACAACUCUCUUAGCCCGAGCCACAGUGAUCUCCAAAAUAUUUGGAGAUCGAGACACAUUUCUGACUCAAGUAGCAUUUGAAACCUUACAUAAGCACUGCAAGUCUCAGCCAUCUGUCUCUUCCAGUAUUCUGAUAACUGUGUCAUCAUUCAUUGGGUUACUUUGCUUUGUUCUGCUGUUUCAGCAUUAUGAUUUUUGUGUUAUUAACCAUUGGGAUAUUGUACACUGUAUAAUUACUCCUCACAUGUAUAUAUUCUCUUACCAUUGAUAUUAUAAUAUACUUUAUUAGGUA